GGGUUGGUGGUCUAGCCCGGUUAUGACGCCGCCUUCACACGGCGGAGGCCGCAGGUUCGAUUCCUGCCCAACCCA
rnacentral:tRNA from 3 species